rnacentral:rRNA from 1 species
UACAGAGGUGGCAAGCGUUGUUCGGAAUUACUGGGCGUAAAGGGCGUGUAGGCGGUCCGCUAAGUCUGAUGUGAAAGCCCGGGGCUCACCCCCGGAAGGGCAUUGGAAACUGGCGGACUCGAGUCUCGGAGAGGAAGGUGGAAUUCCUGGUGUAGCGGUGAAAUGCGUAGAGAUCGGAAAGAACACCAACGGCGAAAGCACUCUGCUGGGCCGACACUGACACUGAGAGACGAAAGCUAGGGGAGCGAAUGGG